rnacentral:rRNA from 1 species
UACAGAGGGGGCAAGCGUUGUUCGGAAUUACUGGGCGUAAAGGGCGCGUAGGCGGCCCGCUAAGUCGAACGUGAAAUCCCUGGGCUCAACCCAGGAACUGCGUCCGAUACUGGCAGGCUUGAAUCCGGGAGAGGGAUGUGGAAUUCCAGGUGUAGCGGUGAAAUGCGUAGAUAUCUGGAGGAACACCGGUGGCGAAGGCGGCAUCCUGGACCGGCAUUGACGCUGAGGCGCGAAAGCCAGGGGAGCAAACGGG